UACGAGCUGUGCAAACGUUAUUCGGAAUCACUGGGCUUAAAGGGUGCGUAGGCGGCUUGUUAAGUAGGGUGUGAAAUCCCCCGGCUCAACCGGGGAAUUGCGCCCUAAACUGGCGAGCUGGAGUGAGAUAGGGGUGUGUGGAACUUCCAGUGGAGCGGUGAAAUGUGUUGAUAUUGGAAGGAACGCCAGUGGCGAAAGCGACACACUGGGUCUCAACUGACGCUGAGGCACGAAAGCCAGGGGAGCAAACGGG
rnacentral:rRNA from 1 species